UCCUUCUCCCUUAUUGCAUUUUCCUGUGGGAGGUAAAAGGUCGGUUUUCAGGAAAACUUGAAAGUACUCAUCACACUCUCUACUUUUAAUUUCUUGUUCUAUAUUUAUUAUCUUUAAAGAAACGGAGGAACAUACAGCUUGCUCUAUCCACCUUUACAUUUGAGCUCUCUUCUAUUUUAAGAUCUUUCUUCAGGGUGUGGUUGGAUGUCAGAAAUGUGAAAGGGCAUCCUGAGGCCUCUGGGGAACAUACCAUGGGCAAGAACUAGGCAUGCAAUAGGGCCAGUCCCAGGUUGUGUCCAGGCUUAAGUAAUGGCUCAACUGCUCCCAUAAAGGGGAAGACAAAGACCUGAAAUGGAGCUCAGAAGAAGAUGCAUUAUCGUUUUAGCUACUGGAGGAAACAUCAAAACUGUAAUGAAAUGAAAUGUAAUGGUGUUAGAAGAGUGCCCAACCUGGAAGUAUUUUAAGGCUGGCUACAUGCAGCUGUACACUUCCAAAAGCUAAAACUACCCCUUCCAGAAAUGAGGAUGGGCUAUGUGGAGAUGACACCAUGAGAGAGCCAAGACAUUUGGAGGAGGAAAAAAGUGCAACCAAGAUUUCCCAAGAGACUGCACAGCUCCUGGGAAAGAGGACAAUGGCAGCUGCAAAAAACCCCAUACAUGCUAGAAGCUGUUUUAAACAACCAAAUGGGGAUUGUCAAGCAGCUAUUCAAUAGAGCUAGACUGAACUGCAGCCAGAACAUCACACACUUCUAAUACGAGCCUUUGAACAAAUGCUAAAAUACCUCAGUAUACAAAAUGCUGGAGUUUGUUUCCCUGCAACAUAAAAUAAAGUGAGUCUCUUAGUAAGUCUCCUCAUUUAUAUCUAAGACAAACACACCACUUAGUAUAGUGAGUCAAUCAUUUCUAAGAUAUUUAAACAGUGAUGUGUCACCCUGCUGUUCCAGGACCCACUCUGGAGCCCAUCAGAGUCAGCAGUAGGGUUUUACUGACUCAGGGAAGCUCUGAUUCAUAUGCUUCUUGAUUUAAUGCCUCUUUAAAAAGUUGACGGAGGGUUAGCUCAGCCACAAACAGAAAAUAUAGGGUUGCCUGGUGCAGCAGAAUGUUUCAGCUACUUAUUUUGUGAG